UACAAACUGUUCCCACAAGGUUGGGAGCAUGGAAUUGUCCAAAAUGUUUUGGUUUCCUGAAGCAUUCAAAGUUCCUUUCACUGGAACUAAGGUGCCAAGCCCAGCUCCUGAAAAAAAGAAAAUGGACUCAUGGAUUCAAACCAGUCUCCUGACAGGACGUCACCAUCUCAGACCUCUGAGGUGAAUCUGUCACUGAAGAGCUCAUACAGUGACUCAGUCAUUCAUGGUCCAUCAGCUGAUUUACCUUCAGAUUUCUCACAACAUUUUAAUAAGCUUUCCUCACCUUCCACUGACAUGGAAUGUACACAAAUCAAAAGAUCAGAUGACAUGUUAUUCUCGGCAUCUGUUGACAAAACUACUUUAACCUCCCAUGUAAGCUCUACACUCACGGACACCUUGGUCCUUGAUGAUUGUAACGGUCCUCAACAAAGUGCUGGCCUCCAUUUUCAGGAUAAACCUCAAGGUGAAGUGAACCCAACUGCUCCCGAUCUCAGGAGGGUCAGUGAAAAUAUUGAGAACAAACAUCAGGAGGAGCUUGUCCAAAAAACAGAGUCCACUCACUUCCAACACUGUUGUGUCCUUAAGUCUGGAAACCACAACGCCAACAUUUGUAGAUGUGUCCAAGGACCUCACCAAUGUAAACUAUGACAUUGAUUUUCCCAAAGUAUGUGAUGGAGGACAAGAUGCAUCCGAAAACAUGACGGUGGGCUGUACCUUAGAAAUGCUGCAGGCAAGCAACGACAAGGGAAUCAGUUUAGGUUUUAAACCAACACCCAAAGCACAAGGACAAUCACUCCCACCUUAAACUCAGAAAACCUUCAUCGAAGGUCAACUGCUGCCUUUAUCUUCUUCGUCCUCAUCAACCCUGCCCAAUAAUCAAUCUGUUAUUAUUUCAAAAUCCAAUCAAACUGGAGAUUUGAAUGAAGCACCAGUGCCUUCACCUGACUCUCCUACUGAGGUAAGAACAAAACUCACGAUGUGCAACACACUGUGUUCUACUAAAGACACUAACCCAAACACAGUCAUUAGCUCAAAUGGCUCAAAUCAACUAUCUCCUACAAUGUCCGGCUCAUCCAGACUGAUCAUGAAGGCAUCAUAAAGAUGAAGCUUAUCCACCAAAGCUGCCUUGUCUGCAGACUACAAUCCGUUCUCUGUCUGACAUAAAAUCAAGUCUUUUUUGGCUCACUUUGACAAACCUGUGGCUAAAAGCAGUGACAUUCAGUCUUUUGCUUUGACCUACAGAGCUUCGCUGAACCAGAGGAUCGCUGGUUACAUGGGUUUAGUCAAUUCUUCCGGUUCUAGGACCCGACAAAAGUUUCAGCUCUCAUGUGGAAAACAGAAACUCUGUAGCAACCUCUACGUCUCUUCUCGCUAAACCUUCAUUCAGCAUUACAGACCUGGGCCUUGACUAUUCACAGAAGGGCUGUAGCACAGCUGCUCCAUUGAUGAGCAGUCCAGUAGUGACGGUCCCACAGACCCCUCCAGUGUUACGGAGGAAACAUGGUCAGCUCUCGCGCAGCAGGUCACAGCAGCUCAGGGCCCUCAGUAUGCCUGAAUUGGAGAAACUAUGCACAGAGGACUUUCCAAUUGGGAAUGAUGCAGCUGUGAAUGAAACAAACACUGACAGUCUGACAAAAGUAGCAGAGACAGGAAGCACUCCAUCCUCUGAGACUGUGACACAGGUGGAUUUAAACAGACGGAGCCAAGGCCAACCUGGAUCCAUGGGGAAGGAGCCUCAAACCCCCCCAGAUACCAAGGCUGGAUGGUCAAUCAGUUUAAAAGAGUUGGUGACGUCUCCUGAGACCCAACAUGAACUGCAGAAUCUCCUGCUUUCCCUCACAAUGAGGUCAUAUGUCAUGACCUUGAUUCAAAAGGUCAAAGUCUAGCCUAUCUGAGCUGAUAAGUGACACUCACCUUGUGGUCCUGAGUAAAGAUGAAGGCUCAGGUCUGGACUUCAGUGUCUCAGGAGGAGUUGACCUUGAGCAGAAGGCUGUGACUGUCCAUCAAGUCUUCUCCAAAGGUGCAGCAGGUCUGGAGGGAACAAUCAUUGUCGUGUCUAUAAACAGUACAAGUCUGGAGGACACCUCACACAGCAAGAAUCUUUCAGUGUUCACUACUGUAUUUCUCAGUUGCAGAUGUUUCUUCAGACGGAGCUAAAAUGGCGGAGCUUUCUAAAGAGUCCUCAGGUGUGGGCUUUGGUCUUGAAGGACAAAAGUCUUUAAAAUGUGGAAACAGACCUCUGCUGGUGAACCGCAUUUCUAAAGGUGACCUGUUCUCCAUAAGUCUGUGAGAAAGUAGAUAUUAGAGGUAAAUGCCUGUCCAUGGAAUCACAUCAUGUUACGCUGUUGUGUGUUAUUCACAUCCUGUGUGUAAAACGCCUGAUAUUUAAGUGAAUGUGAGAUGAAUAUCUUUCCUUUGCCUUUUGUUUUGAUUAAAUGAGACACUGAUGCUGUCAUUGCUGUUAUAGCUGACAUAGCACUGUCACACCAGAAGAUACAAUUGGUUAGAGAAUGCCAAAGUUUUUACGUCUUCAGUAGGUCUGAUUUACUUCCACACUGCAUUUUUGAAAGCAGACCAAAAACUCUGGACAACAGUUGCAACAGCUCUCCACCUGAGGGGGGGGCUCUCGCUCCACUUAUUAUUAACAGGGACUGUGUGGAGAGUCUCCUCCAUGAGGUAUCUGGGGGGUCCACCAACACAUCAGCAGUGGUUCAAAAGGCUGAACCUUCUCGGGUUACUGAGGAAAAACCACUUGGAGGUCAAAGUGCUGCUGACCCUCCAUCAAUAAUAGAACAACAGUAGAGAGUGUUCAGGUGCAGGGCAUCACAUUGGGAGACCCUGACUGCACAGCAGCAGACAGGAAAGUCCUGCAGUGAGUGAUAAAGACAGCACAGAAAAUCAUCAGCUGCCCUCUGCCCUCCCUGCAGGACAUCCCCAGGUCCUGGCAUCUCACCAAGACAAGGAAAAUCCAGUCUGACGUCUCACACUCUGGUCUGAGUCUCUUUAGCCUCCUGCGUUCUGGCAGGAGAAUAAAGAGAAUAAGAAGCAGAACAAAUCAUUUAAAAACAUGACACUGCCUUGUAUUCCAAGCCUUAUAGUAUUGCUACCUUUGUACAUGUUGGAAGAAUUUAAUUUAUUAUCAUUGCUUCAUGCUGUACUGUCGCUUUAAGGAACUGUUUGCUUCUCAUAUUAUAAUCUAGUGUGCUCAAGACUGAUGGAGAAAUUACCAGACAC